GCGGAGGCGGGUAAGUAAGCCGCGCGAGAUGGAAGACAGGUACUCGAAGAGGAAGGGGAAGAACCCUAGAUCAGUGCUACGGCUUGCGCUCAUUCUUGCAAACCUCUCCUUGGGUUUUACCUUUACCAUGGAGAACAAAUGCUCCGUUUGUAAUACCAUCGCGGGAGAGAUUCAGACCGGGCUUUCUAACGUAAGUUUACAUUGCACUUCAACUAGUUUUCACUCUUUAUGCAUUUUUAAACGUAUAUCUUGAAAUUAACCGCAGCAUAAUAUUGCUUCUUUUGUUGAGCGAUUACCGUACUCUAGAACUUAGUGUGUAUAACUUUUUUGCUGUUCACCAAGCCUGUUGUUCUCAUUAUUUUCAUUUUCGGUCAUUAUGAUUCCAAAGUAAGGCACGUGUACAAUGGUAGUUAUCAUUGCAUAUAUUUCUCAUACAUGAUGUUUCCCCAGUGAUUUCAAACCACAAUGUAUUAUAGACCAAAAUUGAAACCCUUUUAGCUGUGUUUUCCAUUUUCCAAGAUCUUUGAUUACAAGAACAUGAAAACAGAUGAAAUGCAAGAAAUCAAGCAUUAAUUAUAGCCAAAUAAUGAAGCUUUUUUAGAGUUUCUCUAAAAAUGAAAAAAUAGUUACUGAAGGAUAUUUAAACAAUAGCAUCCUAAAAAAUGCUCUUCUAAAAGUUAUUUAGUUUCUUUCUGAAACCAACCAUUUUUUUCCUCUUACCUUACCAAUACAUGUAGUAUGUUAUCCAUUGUAGACUAUGUUAAAAAAAAGCUGUUACCCUAUUUACCAUUUUAUAUGAUGCAGAACAGACUACAAUAUAUUUAGAUUAUGUAUAGUGAUGAUGCAGAAGUUUCUUUAUGUAUGUAUGGUCAGGAAAAGAUGAUAAUAUACCAAAGAAAAUGAUCAGGAUGUAUUAUCUACUCUUCAAAAAAAAUUCCAUUUUCUAUGAGUUUAUUGGUCUUUACUUGCCUUGUACCUAAUAUUAUUUCUAAAAUUUUAUCACUUGUGUAAUAUUAGUGGUAGCCUAAGCGACAAGUCUUAACUUCUUCAAUGAUGUUCUUGCAUAGUUAUCUGAUCUCCAUGGGGUACUUCGGAACAUAUUUUUAAUACGUUAUAUGUAUGAUGGAUGCCUCAGCUUGAGAGUUGAGUGACACAUCAUUGCACCUUGGUAUUGCAUCGGCUCAUUCAGCUGCACAUACAACAACAACAACAACAUCAAGCCUUUAUCCCACCAGCUGCACAUAUUCAAUCUUUUUUUAUCUUAAUUGUUAGUCUAUAAUGUUCUUCACCUACAAUGACCAACUUGAAAAUCAACUAGACUUGUGAAGAUUUUUGCCUUUGAAGUGCCUUGUUGUCAUGAUGUCACCAAUAUCACUCAAAUACCCCCAUACAAUUUGCAAGUGAUCUUCUGAUGUUGUUUUUAUGGAAGCCCAACUCUAAGCACCUCUGGUACUAUACCGCUUUAGUGAGGACCGAGCCUCAUUUUUAGGUACCCUAUUUCUAGAGAUUGAAAUGAAGAAACUGAAGGAAACAAAAAUUAGGCAACGAGGUAUGUGAUUUUCCCUGAUUCUGCAUCCAGUACCUAUAUUGAUCAGAUGUGCACAAGAACUCUUUGUAUGAAAGAGGUACGUCAGAUAAUACAACAUGAUAUAUUCAUACCCUAACCCAUUUUCAACUACUCCCAGUACGUUAGACUGCAAGCGGCCUUCUCCCCUCGUGUAGGCUACGUUGCUACUUCUGCCUUCAAAAACAUGCCCUUCCAACCACUUUGUUAUUCUAGUGACCAUGUGAUGGGGACAUCAGAUUUCGACAUGUGUACCAUCGCCGGAGGCGCCGAUCGACGGCCAUGAUUCAAAGUCUUUAUUUUUGAUGUUUUAUUUUAUUCAUGUCAUUUAUAUUUUUUGUCUUUUUCCUUUUGUACCCCUAUGAGGGAAUUAGUGUUUGUUGUUGCCCAAGGGCAUUGUAGUCUUUUACUUUCUGUAUGCUUGUUGAGCCUAUAUAAAGGCUUGGUCUUUGUAUUUUGGAUUAUUACUUAAUGAAUGAAAAUUUGCUCUCUUUUUUUUUA